CAUGGCCCUGAUCACAAUGGGGCAUCUGUGAUGUCACCUUUUGACUCUGGACUCAGGCAGGCAGCCCCCACCAGAAUUUUCCCCUCUCUGACUCAAGGUGGGAAAGAUCUGUAGCUCACCCUGGCUUUGCAUCCUAGAUGUCCAGUUCAAAUCCUGACAUCCUCAGGUAGAAGGAACAGGUUGCAGGUGAUGGGGGAAAGGUAUCUCCCACCAGAUCUGUCAGAGACCUUUCAGAGUAGCUGCCAGUCAGAGUUGGUGACAGUCCUGACUUCUCAUCUUCUUGAAUAAGAAAUCCUCUAAAGCUCUAUGUUCCUUCAUAAACUCAGUGGAAAGAACUUGAGGUUUACAAAGUGGCCGUAUGUCUAGGAGGAACUGAAGCUGACAGAUCUGUCCAUUCAGGCAGAGAGCUCUGAGUUCAAGACACGCCUCCUGUUAGCAGAAGGGCACAGCUGAUGGAAGGCUCCUCGCCAGCCAGUACGGUGAUCGCCAGGGGCAUAAAUCUGUUCGCCUGGUGUGUCUGAGGAGAUUGAAGGCCACAGACCAAUGCUUUCAGCCUGGCCUGGCCGGACAGGAGAGGCGAGAUUGAUGUUUGGACCCCGGAGAUGAACCUUCAAAUGGAGCCCUGCUCAAGCAAAUAUGCAGAAAGACACCAGGAGAUCAAAAGAGAAGCUUCCCGCGAGGAGAUUUGCCUGUGGAAGACUGCUCGUCCA